UUGAUAGAUAUUGCUCUAUCAUUUUGAAUCAACGAUGUGUGGAAUCCGCUGAUCUUUGAUUUGGGCUGCUUGUAUGAAACAAGUCCAUGCCCCUCUCUUCUCUUUUCUUCAUCGCCCAUGUGUGGAAUCCGCUGAUCUUCUUGUGCUUGGGGAAGCAGAGCAUCCAAGUAAGAGAUGGUGAUCUCUUCUCUUUUCUUCAUCGCCCAUGCACAAAAAGAAGAGAGAAUAAAUCGCCAUCUCGUACUUUUACGUUCUGUUGUGGAGAAACACUUAGUCGCAGGAUCCAAUGCAUUUUCACCACUGCUUCCUGCGAAUCAUAAUGGUUGCGAUGGAUCAAUGUUGAUGUUAUUGAUGAUGUGAAGGAAGAGGCAGAGGUAGAAAACAAUUGUUUCUUGUGCCAACAAGAGAUGCCUUCGCUAAGCACGACGCACUAGAGGAAAGAAGAAAAGAAUUGGGGGUUCGGGUGCCCUGCUUAUUGGGCCAGAAUGCAGUCGGCUGUAGAGAAUUGUGCGAGUAUUGGGUAUUGGGUAUUCACACUGAACAAAUUAUUCAGGCACUCAUUUUUGCCCUGCAAAAUCUACACUGAUAGAUUCUUGGAGUUUUGAAGUGUUUUUCCACAUUAGAAUUUAACAAAUACCAGUCUGUUUUUCACUUCAAAAUCUUGAAUGUUGCGGGCCUUUCAUGAAUCGAAUAUACUAAAUAUGAACACUGCUGUGCUUAAUAGGAUUGUUUAAAAAGAUUAUAGAUAAAAAGGAGUGUUGAAGUCUGUACUCAACACUGCUGUGCUUAAUAUUGUUCUGGGCUCUACAGCACAAGGCACUAGAGGAAACAAGACUUUCCCACGGAGCUUGCAGAAAAGUUGUAGCAAAUUGGGUCCGGGCGUCCUAUGUGACUGCGUAUUGGGCCAGAAUGCAGUCGGCCAAGAAAUAAAGAACGGGGUUCGGGCGUCCAAAUCAUCUUGGGUUGGAAUGCAGUCAGACAAAUCAUCUUCCGUGGAGCCCAUUUUGUCCAGGGAUGAAAUAAUGAAGGCCGUUGUAAGCACCGUGCCAGGGGAGAUUCGAACCCUUGCCAUGGUGGACCAGAUUGACAAUGAAGAAUCGGCUGUAGAGAAUUUCUUAGCACGGCCUUUCAUGGCUCGACUUGUUAAGGUCUUAUAGGGAUUUCAGUAUUCGAUCAUUCAUGGCUCGACUUGUUUGACCAUGCUUUCCUUCUGGGUCUAAACCAGCAAUCUCAUUCAUUGUUUUAUUUCAGGUGUGGGAGUUUUUAUUGUCGAUUUUACUUGUAAUAUGUGAUCUUGGUCUUCUUGAUCUUUAAAGAUAUCAUUUAGAACAGAAAAA